GACGAACGCUGGCGGCGUGCUUAACACAUGCAAGUCGAACGGAAAGGCCCUGCUUUUGUGGGGUGCUCGAGUGGCGAACGGGUGAGUAACACGUGAGUAACCUGCCCUUGAUUUUGGGAUAACUUCAGGAAACUGGGGCUAAUACCGGAUAGGAGCUCCUGCUGCAUGGUGGGGGUUGGAAAGUUUCGGCGGUUGGGGAUGGACUCGCGGCUUAUCAGCUUGUUGGUGGGGUAGUGGCUUACCAAGGCUUUGACGGGUAGCCGGCCUGAGAGGGUGACCGGCUACAUUGGGACUGAGAUACGGCCCAGACUCCUACGGGAGGCAGCAGUGGGGAAUAUUGCACAAUGGGCGGAAGCCUGAUGCAGCAACGCCGCGUGCGGGAUGACGGCCUUCGGGUUGUAAACCGCUUUCGCCUGUGACGAAGCGUGAGUGACGGUAAUGGGUAAAGAAGCACCGGCUAACUACGUG
rnacentral:rRNA from 1 species